rnacentral:lncRNA from 1 species
AAUCACACACAUCCCUUCUUUUUUUUUUGUUUCUCAUCCUACUAACACUAAUAUUUUAUUGCCCAUGCUCUUUAUUUUAUUAAUCCUUACAUAAUGCAUUACCCCAACAUGUUUAUGACAUGUUUUUAGCCAUAACAUCUUGUCCACCCAUGCUCAUGGCCGGCCACUACAUAUUAGGGGGAAAAUUGACAUGCAAGUCCUCCC